AAGAGAAGAUAUUAAAAGGAAGACAUGAUUUAAUUUCUCUUCUUUGUUAAUCAACAAUUAACUAGAAGAAUUAAUUUUAGAUGAUUAUAAAUCCAUGGAAUUAGCUGAUUUCACCAGAAUCAAUCAAAAUUAUUCUCUAUUUCUGUUUUAUAUCAUCUGAAUAAUAAUCGUUCCAAGGGAAGGAUUAAAGUGAAAAGAAAAUCUUUUGAACAACAAACAAGUCAAUUCUUUUCCCAUUGUGAUAUUUUUUCUUGGUGUGGUGGACAUGACAAGAAGAAGUGGAAAUCAAAGUCUACUGAGUUUUUUUAUCAACAAGAAUUUGUUCCUUCAUGAUACCUGUUGAUAUUCAGAGGGUGGGGAAACAUUUGAGAGAGAAAGAAAAAACCAUCAGAUCAAUUGAAUGGAGAGAAGAGGAAAACAAGCUGAUGGUCAGUCAAUAGCGGGAUCCAAAAGGUGAACAGUCUUUGAUGGAUGAUGAGGAAGAUUCUUCUUCUUUUUCCUCUCUCUCUCUCUCUCUUUUUGUUCAAAGAAAUUCUACCAACAUGAUGAUGUUCAUGGAGAGUGUAAAUUCAACGAUGACUUGAUUUAUUCAAAAGUAAAAGUUGAUUCUACCCUCCAGGCACUUUUCGGAUAGAGAAUGAAUUUACUUCAUGAUUAUUCAAUAAUCAUCAUGAUACAUCGUUAAAUUGCACCUUAAUCAUUAUCCACCUUCACUGGUCUCAUCAUAAUCUAAACUUAUUAUUAAUUGAGUUUCAUUAAUGGAUAAUGAAUUUGCUUGAUUACAUCAAUUCUGCGCCCACUUUUCAAUCAGAAUCUCUUGAAAGCAAAAGUAACGGUUUUCUUUCUGUAUUGUUAUUAAUAUACUUCAUUAAUUAGUCUGAAUUAAUCUCUCAUUUUUUUUCACUUCUAACAAUUAGUUUACCAUUUCGUAUCCUGGAUAAUUGAUUCAACUCAUUGACCGACAGAUUAAGAUCUUAAACAAUUUAAAUUGAUGCCAAUCAGUGAUUAGUUAAUUUUGACAAGUAAACUCAACAAGUUUAGCUCUCUCUCAGUUUCUGACUGAUUAAUCAAUUGAAUGUUACAUUUUCAGGAUAUUAAUUAUUCAAUUGAAAACUGUGAGAUAAUUUUUAUUGAUUGACAAUCAAUAUGAAAUCACCAUUUACCCAUCAUCAAUAUUAAACAAUUCUUGAAAUUCAAUUGAUUUAUUACAAUUGAGAAUAAUCAAAUUUUUCUACUUGAUUAGUUGAUCAAAUGAAAAUAUAACAAAUUUAAGCGUGAAAAAAGUAUUCCGAUAACUCAGAUUAAUGCCGGAAGAAUCUGAAUCUAAAUCUGAAUCUGAAUUUUCACCGAAAAAUGAAAUGUUCAAAAUGAUUUAAUCAUGAUGAUGAUGAAAGAAUCAAGAAUCAAGAAGCCAAAAGGAAAUUGAUAGUUAAUCAUUUACCAUUGAUACCAUGUUGAAACUGGUAACCAAAUGACCAUGUUAAUGGUCAGUUCAUCUUACUACAAUUAUCUUCUCAUACUAUCGGUUAGUAAUUGCUGACCAUAAUCACCAUCCACUGACCAAUCUACUGCCUUAUCCAUAACUAAUCAAUAAUAAUAACACUAAAUCUUUGAUUGUAAUGAUUAGAAUUACAAUCGUAAUCAACUCACCUCCCUUCAAAAAUUAAUCUCUCCAGACCCACAAUUACCUUAAUCACCCACCACCUAAAAUUAUUUUCAUUUUAAUCAUUGAUUUGAAUCUUUGAUCACAAUUAACUGUAGAUUUUAUAUCAAUUGUAUUUCCCUAUGUUCCCUUUAAUGAUUAAUCAUUUAUAAUCAAUUUCUCUCUCCUUCUUUCUGUUCAUAGGAAUUUUAAUCAAUUCUGUAAUCAUCUUAAUCAUCAUGAAGAUAAUCAAAAUUCCUGAUAAUCACUUGAUUAGUUAUUACAAUUGAAUCUGAAUGGAUUAACAAUGAUUUCGCUGUUUUUUUUUACUAUUAUUAUUUGAUCUCUAUGUUAGUCUUCAGUCAUGAUUGUAAGUUGAUUGUUAACAAUUAAAUUACCAGGAAAACUAUUUCAUCUUCAUCAAGCAUUAUGAAUUAUCAAACUGAUUCAAUUAAAUUGUUUUCGCAAUAGUUAAUUGUUAACCAACGUGUACAUAUAGUUAGAUUGUUGUUGUUCAUUUACCCUCAGGGUAAAUGCUUAUGUUAAAUAAUCAAAUGAAAGUUUAAUAUAAUUUACAUUUUCGGAUUAAUUUCAUUAAUGAUUAGAUAUUAUUUCAUGUUAAUUGUAUGAGUUGAAAGUAAUUGUCAUACCCUUGAUUGUGAGAGAAGAAUUAAUUAAUUAUCUCAUCGUAAUUGUCGAAAAAAAAAUUAACUCAACUUUUACUUGGCUAACAAACUCUCACAAUUCAAUGUCAUUAGAAUGAAAUUUAAAAGGUAACAACAAUUAAAUUUGUCUAAUUGUAAAUAUUUCUAAUUGUUGUUUGUUUGUUUCUCAUCCCAAUUGUAACAAUUAACUGAUUAUCAAACGAAAACGAAGCUUUCAAGAUAAUAAUAUUUUUCUUAUAUCAUUUGGAUGCUACAAUUUAAAAGAACACAAUUAACAUGAAGUCAUUUUAAUCAAAUUGAUUUAUUCCUCUUCACAAUUAAAUCAAUCUUACAAAUUCUUUAAUCUAUUCAGUCAAUUUAAUAUUUAUCCCUUUUUUUUCAUCAUUUCUGCUUCCGGUUCAUCAUUGCUUCAUCGUUCAUGUUGCCAUUUAAUAGCAAAAAACAGUUUUUAUGAUUAGUUGAUUCACUGAGAGUUGUAUUUAGUUGGUGAUUAAUUGUACUGAUUGUUGACCAACAACAAUUUAAAUGUUUUUAAUGACCAAGAUGAUGAAUAAAUUUUGAUAAAUAACAAAAUUCUGAUGACCCAUAGAUGAGAUUCAUAUGAGUUGUAGUUGAAUUUUUUUUUCAUCUUCACGCUUGUUGAUGUAAAUUUCAUAUUCUAAUGAUUGUUAAACUGACCAAA